rnacentral:rRNA from 1 species
CGCGUAGGCGGGAAGUUAAGUGUCUUGUGAAAUCCCUUGGCUCAACCAAGGAACUGCUCGGCAAACUAACUUUCUUGAGGCAAGUAGAGGUGCAUGGAACUCUAGGUGGAGCGGUGAAAUGCGUAGAUAUCUAGAGGAACGCCAGUGGUGAAGACGGUGCACUGGGCUUGUUCUGACGCUGAGACACGAAAGCGUGGGGAGCAAACAGGAUUAGAUACCCUGGUAGUCC